AGCCAUGCAUGUCUAAGUACAUGCCGUAUCAAGGCGAAACCGCGAAUGGCUCAUUAAAUCAGUUAUGGUUCCUUGGAUCGUACCUUACUACUUGGAUAACUGUGGCAAUUCUAGAGCUAAUACAUGCAGCAGAGCUCCGACCUUCGGGGACGAGCGCUUUUAUUAGAACAAAACCCAUCGGACCUCGUGUCCGUCUCUUGUGGUGACUCUGUAUAACUUUGGGCUGAUCGCACGGGCCUGUCCCGGCGACGUAUCCUUCAAGUGUCUGCCUUAUCAACUUUCGAUGGUAGGUUACGCGCCUACCAUGGUCGUAACGGGUAACGGGGAAUCAGGGUUCGAUUCCGGAGAGGGAGCCUGAGAAACGGCUACCACAUCCAAGGAAGGCAGCAGGCGCGCAAAUUACCCAAUCCCAGAACGGGGAGGUAGUGACGAAAAAUAACAAUACGGGACUCUAUUGAGACCCCGUAAUUGGAAUGAGUACACUCUAAAUCCUUUAACGAUUAUCCAUUAGAGCAACAGUCUGGUGCCAGCACGCGCGGUAAUUCCAGCUCUAAUAGCGUAUAUUAAAGUUGUUGCGGUUAAAAAGCUCGUAGUUGGAUCUCAGUUCCAGACGGGUGGUCCGCCUACCGGUGGUUACUGCCUGUUCUGAACAGCCAGCCGGUUUCUCUUGAUGAUCUUCACCGGUUGUCUUGAGUGACCGGCAAGUUUACUUUGAAAAAAUUAGAGUGCUCAAGGCAGGCGUGACGCCUGAAUAAUGGUGCAUGGAAUAAUGGAAUAGGACCUCGGUUCUAUUUUGUUGGUUUUCGGAACACGAGGUAAUGAUUAAGAGGGACAGACGGGGGCAUUCGUAUUGCGACGCUAGAGGUGAAAU
rnacentral:rRNA from 1 species